rnacentral:rRNA from 1 species
GAUCAUUAUAGAGUUUUCUAAACUCCCAACCCAUGUGAACUUACCUUUUGUUGCCUCGGCAGAAGUUAUAGGUCUUCUUAUAGCUGCUGCCGGUGGACCAUUAAACUCUUGUUAUUUUAUGUAAUCUGAGCGUCUUAUUUUAAUAAGUCAAAACUUUCAACAACGGAUCUCUUGGUUCUGGCAUCGAUGAAGAACGCAGCGAAAUGCGAUAAGUAAUGUGAAUUGCAGAAUUCAGUGAAUCAUCGAAUCUUUGAACGCACAUUGCGCCCAUUAGUAUUCUAGUGGGCAUGCCUGUUCGAGCGUCAUUUCAACCCUUAAGCCUAGCUUAGUGUUGGGAAUCUACUUCUCUUAGGAGUUGUAGUUCCUGAAAUACAACGGCGGAUUUGUAGUAUCCUCUGAGCGUAGUAAUUUUUUUCUCGCUUUUGUUAGGUGCUAUAACUCCCAGCCGCUAAACCCCCAAUUUUUUGUGGUUGACCUCGGAUCAGGUAGGAAUACCCGCUGAACUUAAGCAUAUCAAUAAGCGGAGGAAAAGAAACCAACAGGGAUUGCCUUAGUAACGGCGAGUGAAGCGGCAACAGCUCAAAUUUGAAAUCUGGCCCUUGGGUCCGAAUUGUAAUUUGUAGAGGAUGAUUUUGGUGCGGUAUCUUCCGAGUUCCUUGGAACAGGACGCCUUAGAGGGUGAGAGCCCCGUACGGUUGAAUGCCUAGCCUCUGUAAAUCUCCUUCGACGAGUCGAGUAGUUUGGGAAUGCUGCUCUAAAUGGGAGGUAAAUUUCUUCUAAAGCUAAAUAUUGGCCAGAGACCGAUAGCGCACAAGUAGAGUGAUCGAAAGAUGAAAAGCACUUUGAAAAGAGGGUUAAAUAGCACGUGAAAUUGUUGAAAGGGAAGGAUUUGUGACCAGACUUUUUCUGGGCGGAUCAUCCGGGGUUCUCUCCGGUGCACUUCGCCCAGUAAAGGCCAGCAUCGGUUUUCGGCGUGGGAUAAAAGCAGUAGGAAUGUGGCUCUCUACGGGGAGUGUUAUAGCCUAUUGUAUAAUACCGCGCUGGGGACC